CAUGGGCAACCAAAUGGUCCAACCAAACAAGUAAUAAGUUGCCUAAUCAUUGUUUACCAAGCAUUUGCAUUAAGUGAAAAUACGACCUCGUUAGGUUCCCUUAGGAUGACUUCUUCCUAUGCUUUACAUAAGCCACUGGUGUAGCUUUUCCUCUUAAUAAUUAUACUGACUACAUCCGGUGACUAUAGACUAAAAACCAGCAUAGGUGCAAUAAAUUAUUACCUCUGCAAGGACUUGUAGAGCACCACUGUCACAUACUUGGCUAAAAAACGAUGUGUCGAACCAAGUGCCACCAGAGCAGGGCCACCCUUCCCUUUUUGCAUGUAGAGAUGAUUAAGCACCACGUGUUGAGGUCUUGAUAAGGGAGGUGGAAUCUCCAUGUACGAUGAAGGCAUAUUGAGCAGUGUCAUCUGUAAGUGUGGGGGAACAAAUGGUGGCUCCUUUGCGAAAUCGUCACUUCCAAGUUGCAUAUUGCUGUAGCUUGACUCUGGAGACUGAGGGGGUUCAAAACUAGAUAUACUCUCAAGGUCCUCUGGAACAUAAUCCUGCAAAUCCAAAAUGUUGUAAGCUUUGCCAGUAUCAUCUUGAGCCCAAGGGAAGUCAGGGAUGUACCUCCACUCUCCAUCAACAAUAAACCUAUACUGGUAAACCCCAGAAGGCAGUACUUUCAUUAUAGUGUAAUCUUUACCAGAUCUCUGCAAGGGAACUCUUGUUUUCCAGUUAUCCCAUGAUCCCUCAACAGCUACUUCCUUGCCACCAUAGCUCCAUGAAAUCAUUGUCGGAAUUCCUUGCUCAUUGCACAUUUCUUCAUACCCAACAGUAUUUUGCAUCCAUGAAUUGCUUGGUAUUUGGAUCUCGUCUGGUCUUUGUAGCGGAACCACUGGAACCUGAGGAGUGAACAUGAGAGGUGAUUGAGUGGCUCUAGGGCUGUGAGGAGGGGACUGACCCAUCAAUUCAGGAGGAGGGGGAAGGCAGCCAAGGUGGGUCUCAUCUGGAACAACCAUGCCCUCGCCGCCGUUAUUUCCUCCUCCUCCUCCCUCCUCUUCAUCAACCCCAGCUCCCACCCCACCACCACCUGAUCCUGAAGGGCUAGUUACCCCAUCUUCUUCUCCUCUUCCAUUCACAUUUCCCAUAUUAUAAUAAAUUAAUAAAUUAUCUAACAACCUCCACUGAAUUACAGAAUAUCAAAGAUUAUUAUUAGUGACUAGAUUCUGAUUAUUAAAUUAUACCCAAUUCCCAUUACCUAUGACCCAAUACCCAUGAACUAGAAACAAUUAAAUCAACAGCAGCCCGUCAGGAAAUUGGCCACAGAUAUGCCCAAUUUGAAGACUUCUUGGUAGAAAAUGAAACGUGUAAAAUCUACAUGGGUACACAUAACAGUGUAUACAAAUAAAAAUAAAAAUAAGAAGAAGAAUUAAAAAGGAAAAGUGAAAAAGAAUUUUCCGAUGAAUUUGGAAGAUGAGAUUUGAGAUUUGAAACAAAGGGCGUGGGUGUGGGUUCGGCGGCGGCGGUGGUGGUGGUGGUGGCGGU
rnacentral:misc_RNA from 1 species